rnacentral:rRNA from 1 species
CAGCACCUCAAGUGGUCAGGAUGAUUAUUGGGCCUAAAGCAUCCGUAGCCUGCUUUGUUAGUUUUCGGUUAAAUCUGUACGCUCAACGUACAGGCUGCCGGGAAUACUGCAGCGCUAGGGAGUGGGAGAGGUAGACGGUACUCGGUAGGAAGGGGUAAAAUCCUUUGAUCUAUUGAUGACCACCUGUGGCGAAGGCGGUCUACCAGAACACGUCCGACGGUGAGGGAUGAAAGCUGGGGGAGCAAACCGGAUUAGAUACCCGAGUAGUCC